UACGUAGGGGGCUAGCGUUGUUCGGAAUUACUGGGCGUAAAGCGUAUGCAGGCGGACUUUUAAGUCGGGGGUGAAAUCCCGAGGCUCAACCUCGGAACUGCCUUCGAUACUGGAAGUCUUGAGUCCGGGAGAGGUGAGUGGAACUCCGAGUGUAGAGGUGAAAUUCGUAGAUAUUCGGAAGAACACCAGUGGCGAAGGCGGCUCACUGGCCCGAUACUGACGCUGAGGCACGAAAGCGUGGGGAGCAAACAGG
rnacentral:rRNA from 1 species